rnacentral:rRNA from 1 species
CCUACGGGGGGCUGCAGUGGGGAAUAUUGGACAAUGGGGGGAACCCUGAUCCAGCCAUGCCGCGUGUGUGAAGAAGGCCCUCGGGUUGUAAAGCACUUUCAGUGAGGAAGAACGCCUGGUGGUUAAUACCCAUCAGGAAAGACAUUACUCACAGAAGAAGCACCGGCUAACUCCGUGCCAGCAGCCGCGGUAAUACGGAGGGUGCGAGCGUUAAUCGGAAUUACUGGGCGUAAAGCGCGCGUAGGUGGCUUGAUAAGCCGGUUGUGAAAGCCCCGGGCUCAACCUGGGAACGGCAUCCGGAACUGUCAAGCUAGAGUGCAGGAGAGGAAGGUAGAAUUCCCGGUGUAGCGGUGAAAUGCGUAGAGAUCGGGAGGAAUACCAGUGGCGAAGGCGGCCUUCUGGACUGACACUGACACUGAGGUGCGAAAGCGUGGGUAGCAAACAGGAUUAGAUACCCCAGUAGUC